rnacentral:rRNA from 1 species
AGCAGCCGCGGUAAUACGGAAGGUCCAAGCGUUAAUCGGAAUUACUGGGCGUAAAGCGCGCGUAGGUGGUUUUUUAAGUUGGAUGUGAAAGCCCUGGGCUCAACCUAGGAACUGCAUCCAAAACUAGAUGACUAGAGUACGAAAGAGGGAAGUAGAAUUCACAGUGUAGCGGUGGAAUGCGUAGAUAUUGUGAAGAAUACCAAUGGCGAAGGCAGCUUCCUGGUUCUGUACUGACACUGAGGUGCGAAAGCGUGGGUAGCGAACAGGAUUAGAUACCCUGGUAGUCCACGCCGUAAACGAUGACAACUAGCUGUUGGGAGACAAGAUCUCUCAGUGGCGCAGCUAACGCUUUAAGUUGUCCGCCUGGGGAGUACGGCCGCAAGGUUAAAACUCAAAUGAAUUGACGGGGACCCGCACAAGCGGUGGAGCAUGUGGUUUAAUUCGAUGCAACGCGAAAAACCUUACCUACUCUUGACAUACUUGGAAGCUCUUGUAAUGAGAGUGUGCUUUUAGAGCCAAGAUACAGGUGCUGCAUGGCUGUCGUCAGCUCGUGUCGUGAGAUGUUGGGUUAAGUCCCAUAACGAGCGCAACCCUUACCCUUAUUUGCCAGCGGUUCGGCCGGGAACUAUAAGGGGACUGCCGGUGACAAACCGGAGGAAGGUGAGGACGACGUCAAGUCAUCAUGGCCCUUACGAGUAGGGCUACACACGUGCUACAAUGGGGAAUACAGACGGACGCUAAAGCGUGAGCUGGUGCCAAUCCUAAAAAAUUUCUCGUAGUCCGGAUUGCAGUCUGCAACUCGACUGCAUGAAGUCGGAAUCGCUAGUAAUCGCGAAUCAGCAUGUCGCGGUGAAUACGUUCUCGGGUCUUGUACACACCGCCCGUCACACCAUGGAAGUGUGUUGCACCAGAAGUAGGUAGUCUAACCUUCGGGAAGGCGCUUACCACGGUGUGAACCAUGACUGGGGUGAAGUCGUAACAAGGUAGCCG